AGUUCUGAUUAGACCCAGAACCAUAGAUACUGCAGUUCUGAUUAGACCCAGAACCAUAGAUCUAGUUCUGAUUAGACCCAGAACCAUAGAUCUAGUUCUGAUUAGACCCAGAACCAUAGAUCUAGUUCUGAUUAGACCCAGAACCAUAGAUCUAGUUCUGAUUAGACCCAGAACCAUAGAUCUAGUUCUGAUUAGACCCAGAACCAUAGAUCUAGUCCUGAUUAGACCCAGAACCAUACACAUAGUUCUGAUUAGACCCAGAACCAUAGAUACAGUUCCUAUUAUACCCUCUCUCCCCAAACAGUGUUAGAACUAUCAAUUUGAUAUCAUGGAUGGUCAGUCCUUGCAUCCAUAGCUCUGUCUUAUGAAUUUGAGAGUGUUUACAAAUCUCCAACCCCAUCCCUCAGCUUUUAACCAAAACAGUGGUGGGGUGGACACGUUAUUGUUUCAACUGCAGAUUGCCCCUUGACGGUCUGUUUAGAUAAAACCCAACCUUUAGAUUGUGCCUCCAAAGCAGCACUCCAGUCAACGUGACUGCUUGGUGCUUACGCUGCCCAAAUGGCCCCCUAUACUUACCCCACAUAGGACUCUGUUCAGAAGUAGUGCACUAUAUAGGGAAUAGGGCUCUGGUCUAUAGUAGUACCACUAUAUAGGGAAUAGGGCUCUGGUCUAUAGUAGUACCACUAUAUAGGGAAUAGGGCUCUGGUCUAUAGUAGUACCACUAUAUAGGGAAUAGGGCUCUGGUCUAUAGUAGUACCACUAUAUAGGGAAUAGGACUCUGGUCUAUAGUAGUACCACUAUAUAGGGAAUAGGGUUCUGGUCUAUAGUAGUACCACUAUAUAGGGAAUAGGGCUCUGGUCUAUAGUAGUACCACUAUAUAGGGAAUAGGGCUCUGGUCUAUAGUUGUACCACUAUAUAGGGGAUAAUAGGGUGCCAUUUUUCAUGCACACUUCGAUCCCAGUUUCAUUGAGACAGCCCCAACCACUUAAAUCCAUUGUGUUCAUAGAUAAAGCUCUGGUUUAAUUUAGUUUAGGAAAGGGAUCUUUUUAAAUCUGAUUGCCAAAUAAGGUGAUUUGUAUUUUGCGAUCUGAACAUGUACCCGCAGACAGAGAACCGUGUUGUUUUCAGACGGUCUCUUCUGUAGAUACCAUGUACCCGCAGACAGAGAACAGUGUUGUUUUCAGACGGUCUCUUCUGUAGAUACCAAGCCCUGCAGACAGAGAACAGUGUUGUUUUCAGACGGUCUCUUCUGUAGAUACCAUGUCGCGUGAGUCAUGUAGAACUUGUAUAAGCCUGUUUGGGGAACCCUGGGUUAGGGGCAGAACUUGUGUGUCGACAGUGAACAUACUUUAAUGGGUUGGGACAAGCGUUGAUCAUUUGAGUCAGCUGUGUAGUGCUCGGGGCAACAAAACCAAAUAAACCUGUGGACCGAGUUUGGAAAACCCUGGGUUGGGGGCAGAACUUGUGUGUAGAGAGUGAACAUACUUUAAUUGGCAGUACAUGAUAUAUAUUUUAAGACACACAGCUUUGUCUGUUCAUGUAGGUCUGGGUCAGAGAACGACUACUGUUGUCUAAUGUCCUCCUUCAUGUUGGUCUGGCUCAGAGAACGACUACUGUUGUCUAAUGUCCUCCUUCAUGUUGGUCUGGCUCAGAGAACGACUACUGUUGUCUAAUGUCCUCCUUCAUGUUGGUCUGGCUCAGAGAACGACUACUGUUGUCUAAUGUCCUCCUUCAUGUUGGUCUGGCUCAGAGAACGACUACUGUUGUCUAAUGUCCUGUUUCAUGUAGGUCUGGCUCAGAGAACGACUACUGUUGUCUAAUGUCCUGUUUCAUGUAGGUCUGGGUCAUGUUCAUAUUGGUGCAAAACAGAAGAAAAAAACCAGAGUGAAACAGUGAGGUACUUACCUGUCCAAUAAGAAACGCUCGUGUCAGUUUUUCCCCGUUGUGUUUCCUGAUGAACACAACACUGGUUUUGUUCUGUAGUAAUAUAUGUUGUAUUAAAGGACAAUAACACUGGUUUUGUUCUGUACUAAUAUAUGUUGUAUUAAAGGACAAUAACACUGGUUUUGUUCUGUACUAAUAUAUGUUGUAUUAAAGGACAA
ensembl:lncRNA